AUAUUAUAGGGAAUAAAAGUUUCACUGUUAUUAUUAUUCUCCAUAAAAGAUUUAGAAAAAACAUCCCUCAUCUUAGGGAUAAAGAUCUAUAGAGAUCGAUCUAAAAAGCUACUUGGGUUAUCCCAGUUCAACAUACAAAGAAUGUUUAUGAUUAGAAUUUAUUCUAUCAUGUACACCAUGUAUGAGAUAGGAUAUGGUAUACAUACUAGGGC
rnacentral:lncRNA from 1 species